UAAGACGAACCGUACGAACGUUAUUCGGAAUCACUGGGCUUAAAGGGUGCGUAGGCGGCGCAGAAAGUAGGGUGUGAAAUCCCUCGGCUCAACCGAGGAACUGCGCUCUAAACUACUGUGCUCGAGGGAGAUAGAGGUGAGCGGAACUUAGGGUGGAGCGGUGAAAUGCGUUGAUAUCCUAAGGAACACCGGUGGCGAAAGCGGCUCACUGGAUCUCUUCUGACGCUGAGGCACGAAAGCUAGGGUAGCAAACGGGAUUAGAUACCCCGGUAGUCCUAGCCGUAAACGAUGAGCACUGGAUUGGAGGGCCCUCCAUAGCCUUCCAGUCGCAGCGAAAGUGUUAAGUGCUCCGCCUGGGGAGUAUGGUCGCAAGGCUG
rnacentral:rRNA from 1 species